GGGGUGACGUUGCUCGGAAUAUCUGGGCGUAAGGGCUCGCAGGCGGUUUCUUAAGUCUGAUGUGAAAGCCCCCGGCUCAACCGGGGAGGGUCAUUGGAAACUGGGGAACUUGAGUGCAGAAGAGGAGAGUGGAAUUCCACGUGUAGCGGUGAAAUGCGAUAGAGAUGUGGAGGAACACCAGUGGCGAAGGCGACUCUCUGGUCUGUAACUGACGCUGAGGAGCGAAAGCGUGGGGAGCGAACAGGAUUAGAUACCCUGGUAGUCCACGCCGUAAACGAUGAGUGCUAAGUGUUAGGGGGUUUCCGCCCCUUAGUGCUGCAGCUAACGCAUUAAGCACUCCGCCUGGGGAGUACGGUCGCAAGACUGAAACUCAAAGGAAUUGACGGGGGCCCGCACAAGCGGUGGAGCAUGUGGUUUAAUUCGAAGCAACGCGAAGAACCUUACCAGGUCUUGACAUCCUCUGACAAUCCUAGAGAUAGGACGUCCCCUUCGGGGGCAGAGUGACAGGUGGUGCAUGGUUGUCGUCAGCUCGUGUCGUGAGAUGUUGGGUUAAGUCCCGCAACGAGCGCAACCCUUGAUCUUAGUUGCCAGCAUUCAGUUGGGCACUCUAAGGUGACUGCCGGUGACAAACCGGAGGAAGGUGGGGAUGACGUCAAAUCAUCAUGCCCCUUAUGACCUGGGCUACACACGUGCUACAAUGGACAGAACAAAGGGCAGCG
rnacentral:rRNA from 1 species